AUUAAAACCCUAAUUCUCAUAUGAUCACCAAAGUUAAGCAAUGUCAAGCUUGGUUAGUACUUAGAUGGGUGUCCACUUGAGAAUAUCAGGUGUUGUAAGC